UCUGGUGGCGAUAGCGAAGAGGUCACACCCGUUCCCAUACCGAACACGGAAGUUAAGCUCUUCAGCGCCGAUGGUAGCU
rnacentral:rRNA from 1 species